rnacentral:miRNA from 1 species
GACUCAGGAUAAGUAUAUCCCACAGAACGUUUGGGAUAUACUUAUACUAACA